AUACGAAGGGUGCAAGCGUUGUUCGGAUUUAUUGGGCGUAAAGCGCGCGCAGGCGGAUUAAUAAGUCAGGUGUGAAAUCUUGGGGCUUAACCCCGAAACUGCGCCUGAAACUGUUAGUCUAGAAUCUUGGAGAGGGAAGUAGAAUUUCGCAUGUAGGGGUAAAAUCCGUAGAGAUGCGAAGGAACACCAGAGGCGAAGGCGACUUCCUGGACAAGUAUUGACGCUGAGGCGCGAAAGCAUGGGUAGCGAACAGGAUUAGAUACCCUAGUAGUCC
rnacentral:rRNA from 1 species